AUCACCCAACCCAUGGUCCGUCCGGGUUGGUGUCUGGCGGCUCUAUAAAAGGCACCGUCCAUAGCAACCACCUCCUCCCCUUCCUCUCCACUCCUAAAAGCACAGGGCACACAGAGCCACCACUAGCCAGUAGCUAGCAGCUAGCAGCUACCCCCAGCUCUAGCUACUUCCUGACCUCGCCCUCAGCCCCUCACCACCUAGCUCAGCGCCGGCGGAGCGAGCGAGACCCUCCGGAUCCUGCCGCAGCACACGUACAAAACACCCCGACCGCCAACGAUGGCCGCUGCCUCCGGCGCACGGAAGGAUAAGGGAGCUCGGCGAUGCGUGCCGAGGCGCGGGCAGGUGCUCAAGAGGGUGUUCGCGAGCCUCUUCUCCUGGCUGCCGGCGCGGCGCAGGCGCCACCGCUCCCCUCGGGGGCGUCGUGGCAACCGGGUCCCGGCGGGCGGCGGCCACGUCGAGCCGGAGCCCGACGUCGCGGCGGCCCGCGCCAACAGCUCGCACGCGCACCAUGACACCACCACUAACUAUAAUCCUCCCGCAGACCCCACUUACUACUAAAGGACAGCAACUCAAUUCAUCAGUUAUCUAAAAGGAAUAAUCAGGGCCGUCAAGUAAGUAUACGCGGCCCCGCCGGGAGGUGACGGAGGAGGAGUCGGUCAACGUCAAGACGUCAACUCGUGAGCCGCGAUCGAUCGCGUCGCGGGUUGGUGAACGCCGUCGCUGCCUCUCCUUUGUGAUAUGAUAGUCAUCUUAUUAUUGUUUCAUUUUUUUAUUGUUUAAUUUUUGAUUGCUCCUAUCACUGGAUGGCACCUAUGAUAGGCUGGUCAAAGUCGUCGUCGUUACCGUAAGUCUGUAACACUUCAUGUCGUCGUAUGAAAAGUAUAGUCCAUGUAGUACGUUGGGCUCCUGUUAGCUAAAGCUUGUGCUCGGUAAGACCGUAAGAGUGGUCUGUAAGCAUUCAUCGGCGCAGGUUACUGUGUUCCGUCUCACAAUCUACAAUAAAACAUGUCGAAUUGUUAGUAUAUUCAGUCUGUAAACGCUGAUCGAGUAUGUACGUGCCACUCUUCAUCCGUUGAAUGCUCAAUUCAAUGUGGAA